rnacentral:rRNA from 1 species
UACGGAGGGUGCAAGCGUUGUCCGGAAUUAUUGGGCGUAAAGAGCGUGUAGGCGGUUCGGUAAGUCUACUGUGAAAUCCUGGGGCUCAACCCUGGGCGUGCAGCGGAUACUGCCGGGCUAGAGGAUGGUAGAGGCGAGUGGAAUUCCGAGUGUAGCGGUGAAAUGCGCAGAUAUUCGGAGGAACACCAGUAGCGAAGGCGGCUCGCUGGGCCACACCUGACGCUGAGACGCGAAAGCGUGGGGAGCGAACAGG